UCAGUUCUUGCACUCAAAUCACUUUAUAACGAAACACAUGUUUGUGAUUAUCAAUUAAGAUAUGUCUUUUCUAUUUUCUUUGGUUCCAUCGCCUUUUCUCUCUCGCUUUGCUCCGACUUAAACAUUGCCGGUGAGUUUUAGCGAUUGUAUUGUUCCUUGUUACUUCCUCUCUAUUCUUUCCAUGUUCUUCGUUCUUCUUUGCGGGUUUUCCCUUUGAGUUUGCUUUGCACACAUCUAUCUUCAUUUGUUUUUUGAUUUCAGCAAUCCAAGAUGUAAUAAUCAGGGACAAUUUGAGUACUGAAGAUCUCAACUAAGGUAAAAUACUAUUCUUAAGCCCUUAUACUUAAAGGAUCAUAAACCCUAUCUUUCGUGUUUAGUAAACAGUUUUGAAUUUCUCAUAUUAAUUAAGAGUAAUUGUUUGAUGCUGAAGAAAGACCAGGCCUUAUAACCCUCUCAAAGUGAGCUUUCCAAUCCGGCUAUCCUAGUCUUGUGCCUUUUUCCUAUUGGAGUUUUUCAGUACAUUAUUAGAACUGGAUAUGGAUUUGUAGUUAGCUUUUGUUGAAUAGACUUCUGGACUUUGCUGAGAAGAUUCAAACAUGACAAAAAUGUUUAUCACAGAUUUUAAGGAGGUUUCAGCCUUUCAGGUAAGGUUCAUCUCAUAUCUUAAAUGACCCAAUUUGUUGCUUUUCUGUAAAUAGAGGCUUGUAUUGUUAUAUCCCAUUCGUCGUCUUCUCAUAAAAUUUAGAAAACAUAAAUGGUGCCUCUAUUUUCAGAAGUUCAAAAUACAUCAUAUCGCAUAAACUACAUAAAUAUCUGGUAUAAUCGUCGCCGCACCAUCAGUGGCAGAGGUAGGAUCUCCACGAGGGGUUUAAAAAAUAUUUUUGUAGCUAGUGGAAAUUAAAGCCAUGACCUUGUGUAGAUUUUGAACCCCCUUGAACACUAAACUACACUAUUGGAUUGUGUUAAGAGUGUUCAAACCUUAAUAUAUAGAGGUAAAAAACAGAUUUUGUCUUAUGUAUGCAGUGUAAUUUUUCGGCAAAGGGGUUCGGGUGAACAGCUUGUGGCCCCCUAAAUCCGCCCCUGUGCACCAUCUUACUUUUGUUUUCCACCAUUCUCUAAAGUGUUGUACAUUUCACCUUCUUGGAUGAUUGCAACGCCAUUUAUGCAUAUUUUGUCUCUGCUAUUUACUCUCUGUAACAUUUUUGUUGUUCAAUCCUUUUUUUUAUUUGUGAAUGCUUACAUUUUCAACUAGCAUAUUGUAUUGGAAUUUCUAAAUGGGAACCCAUCACUGAAAGAUCUGGCGUUCGACCCUUUGUUCCGAGCAUACUGUUUGUGAAAUGAGAGGUAUUACCUCUUUUUGUAGAAAUCCUUCAUAGCAAUAAAAAAAUCAUUCUUGAUUUCUUUUCUAUGAAGCCUAAAUGUUUCUCGGUCUCUGCUUGAUAAUGAUACUGAUCUAGGUGUUAAGCCUAAUUAAGUAGAAGAACUUUUAUACUUUCUGAUUUUGCAAGGUUUUUUAAAUAUUUUCUGAUUUCGUGAUUUUAUGGUUAUUUAUCUAUAAAUUGGGGAGUGUUAUUUGAAUAACUAACUGUAAAGAAGCAUAUCAUGUUAGGAAUUUCAUCUGUUUUAGGCUUGUAGCUCACGAUUUGAAUUCUUUAUUUUUUUUUUAAAAAGAGAGAAGGAUUUUGUCUUCAAAAUGCUAAAGAAAUAGAAAUUAUAUCUCUUCCAGCGUGAUAGUGAUAUCUAGGACCGAGCUAGCAGUUACUUAGUUGUUGUAUGCAGGGCUGCCACAAUCGCUUAAAUUGGUUUAAUUUUUUUAUUUUCUCAGUCUUUUCAUUGGAGUUGCUUAACACUUUGUUAUUUUAGUGUGUUCUAUUUUUAUUAUUGUUGCAAUUUUUGUGAUAAUUGUGUAUUCGUGGGUUUGUGAAGCAUUUCAUAGUGUGGUUGUAAUGCUCUUCUACUCCUUGAUCUCUUUAAUAUUCUAUGUUAUUAUGUUUGUUGUAUUUUUUACCUGAGCUCUUUAGUUUUAUGAUAUAUUUCUACAUGUUAGUGAAUAUAAUACAUGUUGAUGUAUGCACAUUAAUCAAUAUUAAAAUAUACUCAAUAACGUUAAAUAUGUUAUUAAAAUUUCACGUUCAGGAAUGAAAAAGUAUUUGCUUGUACCCCUCGUUAUACUAUUGGGAUAUCCAUACCCCUAUCAUCAUACUAUUGGGUUAUCAUAUACCUCUCUUGAAACAAAAAUACCCCUACUUUUGCAUGGAGUGCAAUAUGGCAACACCAGAUUAAAACGACCCCUUUUUUUUUACCCGACCCAUUUUUUUAAAAUACCUACAACCCGAACCCAUUUUCAUUUUAUUUCCA
rnacentral:lncRNA from 1 species